UAAAAACCCUCUCCCAUCCACAAAAUAAACACACGCACACACACUUCUCAUUUGUUCAAGCGUAAUGGAUAGAUAUUCAUAUUCCCAUCUCUCCUUCUUUAUAACAUCAUUCUUAUUACUUCAAUGGUUGAUUGAUUAUAGUUCAGCCAACUCAGAUCGUUCUUCACUUACUGCCUUCAAAUCUCAAAUCUCUUCCGAUCCCUAUAAUACACUGACAAAAAACUGGAGCAGGGAGAGCAGUAUUUGUAGUUGGAUCGGAGUUACUUGUGAUUCUCGGUAUCACAGGGUGACUCAAUUGAAUAUAUCAUCCAUGGGUCUUGUAGGAAUCAUUCCACCUGAAAUCGGAAAUCUUUCUUUUCUCAUUUCUUUAGAUAUGAGCAACAACUCUUUUCAAGGUCCCAUUCCCUCAUCUAUUUUCAAUAUGUCAAGUUUAAAAGUUUUGAAUUUAAGGAAUAAUAGUUUGUCUAGUAGUCUACCUCUUGAUAUCUGCAAACACAACGGGCAUAGACUGAAGUAUCUUCGUAUUUCUUACAACGAGUUGUAUGGGAAAAUACCAUCGAGUUUGGAGCAGUGUUCGAAGCUUGAGUAUCUUUCUUUGGCAAGAAACAAAUUCAGUGGGAACGUGCCAAUAAAAAAAUUGGGAACUUGACAUUGCUUCAACAACUAUUCUAAGGUUCCAACAAUUUAAGAGGUAAUAUUCCAAGAGAAAUCGGUGCUCUUACUAAUUUACAAAUGUUGGACCUUCGUAACAACCACUUUAAUGGACAAGUGCCUGCACAAAUUGGGAACUUGACAUUGCUUCAAGAAUUAUACCUAAUUACCAACAAUUUAACCUGUACGUAAUAUUCCAAAGGAUAUGGGGAAGUUGAUAGUGCUUCAAUUGUUAUACCUUAGUCAAAACAAGUUCAGUGGUUCUAUAGCAAAGGAAAUUGGGAACAUGACAUCCUUGUUCUACUUAGCGCUUGACAUUAAUGUUAUAAGCGGUCAUAUUCCAAAAGAAAUUGGUAACAUUACGCCUCUUCGCCAGCUAUGGCUGUACAACAAUAAUUUAAGUGGUAUGAUUUCAUGCCUCUUUAUAUAUUAUUGGUUACAAAGUUACAUUAAUUAGAUAUUAUGAGUUGCUAUGUUCAAAAUUUGUACGGCCAUGUAAUAUUCCAAAAGAAAUCGGUCGUCUCAAUAGUUUGGAGACAUUGAAUAUCGCAUCCAACAAAGUUAGUGGGCCAUUGCCUAGGGAAAUUGGCAACCUAACACACACCAGUCAGUUGUGGCUUUUCGACAAUAAUAUAAAUGGACCAAUACCUUCCACCAUUGGGAAUAUGUCCGAGCUGAUUUUUGUAGAACUCACUCAGAACAAAUUAAUUGGAGAGAUUCCAUCAUCUAUUUGUAACUUGAGAUCGCUUUUAGUUCUCUAUCUAUCAAACAAUCAUUUGGAAGGACCAAUCCCAAAUUGUUUGGGAAACCUCAACAGUUCAUUGGCGGUUCUUCAUUUGGGUGCAAACAAAAUCACUGCCCUUCAAUCAACAUUUGAAAAGGGAUGCAGUCUUCAAUCCCUAUUCUGGCCAUUAAAUUGGAAGGAAUACCUCACUCCCUAAUCAACUGUGAAAGUAUGAGAGGCAUUCAUCUUGGUGACAAUGAAAUACGAGGUACAUUUCCCUUCUGGAUGGAAACACUCCCUCAGCUUCGCGUCCUCGUGUUGAGGUCUAACAAGUUGAAUGGUAAUAUAUUGGUGACUUCAACGACUGAGCAUCCGUUUCCAAAGUUGCAAGUCUUUGAUAUAUCAAGAAAUGCAUUCGUUGGCUCGCUGCCCGAUAGAUAUUUCAAAAAUUUUGGAGUCAUGAUAGAUGCCAAGGAAAAUAUGACACGCGAUGCGAAUGAUGUCUUCCUACGGUUUUUCGACUUCAAUUUCACUUUGAAAGGUUUGGAUUGUCAUGGAACAUAUUGGGUGGGAAAAUUCCAAGUGAAUUGAUUGAGUUGACAUUUCUUUCAAAAUUAAACCUUUCUAUGAAUAAUCUUGUGGGCAGUAUACCAUUAUCUAAGCAGUUUUCUAUAUUUCAGAAUGAUUCAUAAAUAGGAAACUUGGGAUUGUGUGGAGUUCCGUUGAUGAAACAGUGUGAAAUAACUGAUGGAAAACCAAUUCCUCCAGAAGAUAAUGAUGAUGAAGAGUCUGGAUUUAUAGAUGGAUUUGGUUGGCGAAGUGUGGUGAUGGGGUAUGGACGUGGAUUUAUUAUUGGAAUUGGAAUUGGUUACAUGAUUAUAAGAAGCGGAAGGCCAAGAUGGUUAGUGGACUUUUUGGGGUUGGAUAUUAUAUAUAGUAAUAAUUAGAUGAAGAGAGAAAUGGAGCAAAAGGAACCCCAAGGAGAAGGUGAUUCAAGACAAUCAUUGUGGUUUUCUUAGAGUUUGAUUUUGCAUGUUGUGACUUGUGAUCAAUUGAUGUGUAAUGUUUUACAAAUAAUGAACUUUGAAAAAUUGCAAUAUUGUAUUUCUAUGUUGGGUUAUUGUGGUUUAUUCUGAAAGCUUAA